rnacentral:tRNA from 3 species
GCGCCCGUAGCUCAGCUGGAUAGAGUGUUCGGCUACGAACCGAGAGGCCGUGGGUUCGAAUCCCGCCGGGCGCACCA